rfam:Oryza rufipogon genomic scaffold, chr05
AAUAAGUGCAGUCAUAAGUUUCCGCGCCCAACUUUGAUCGUCCGUCUUAUUUGAAAUUUUUCUAUAAUUAGCAUUUUUGUUGUUAUAAGAUGAUAAAACAUGAGUAGUACUUUACUCGUGACUUGUGUUUUUCAAUUUUUUUAGAAAAUUUUCAAAUAAGACGAAUGGUCAAAGUUGAACGCGGAAAAUCAUGGCUGCACUUAUU